rnacentral:rRNA from 1 species
UACGGAGGGUGCAAGCGUUAAUCGGAAUUACUGGGCGUAAAGCGUACGUAGGCGGUUAUUUAAGUCAGAUGUGAAAGCCCCGGGCUUAACUUGGGAACUGCAUUUGAAACUGGGUAACUAGAGUUUAGUAGAGGGGAGUGGAAUUUCAGGUGUAGCGGUGAAAUGCGUAGAGAUCUGAAGGAACACCAGUGGCGAAGGCGACUCCCUGGACUAAAACUGACGCUGAGGUACGAAAGCGUGGGUAGCAAACAGGAUUAGAAACCCUAGUAGUCC